AGUUAUGAGGUGAAGAACCAGGCCAAGCUCUUCUAGGAAGAAAAAUGAAUAGGAAAUGAACGACUUUGCUGGACCACACACAGUGAACCACAGGUUGAAGAGCAAAGGAGCCAACCAAUCAUGGACUAAGACCUCAGCAACUGUUGAUUGUCUCCCUGAUGUGCUACAGUGAUAGCAAACUGACUACGACAGAAUAGUUGGAAGAGUGGAGGCUACACCAUAUUUAUUUGCUGAUGAUGCUUCUUUGGGAUAAGGAUUUGAGUAAAGAAUAAACAGAAGAAAAUUGGCUCUGGGGAAAAAAAUACAAAAUGGAAUUAUCAGGCAAUCCAGAAUUUCACUGAAGGUUAUUGGAUUUUUCACUCUUCUUUAUCACUGAUUGGUGGAAACCUAAGCCUGAAGCAAAACCUGCCGAACAUCUGUUUCUGGAUUUCACCCCCACAUAGUGACAAGAAGACUCAGCAGAUACCACAACAGUGUUCCUGGAGCACUCCAUGCCCUCUCAGCAGGAGGAGUCAGCGAGCACGUCCCGCACAUGGAGGAGAUAAUCAUCAAACUGAUCGGCCGCGUCACAGAGUAGCAUUCAUCCAUUGCCCAGUGAUUUCUUGACCCAUCUCAUAAAGUAAGUAAAUCAAGAUGACCCAUUACACUGUGGGUCAAGGAAAGUCAGCAGCAGUGGAAGAAGUGGUCCUCUGCUUACUAUUUUUUC